rnacentral:rRNA from 1 species
GACGAACGCUGGCGGCGUGCUUAACACAUGCAAGUCGUACGGUAAGGCCCUUUCUGGGGUGCACGAGUGGCGAACGGGUGAGUAACACGUGCGUAACCUGCCCACAACUUUGGGAUAACGCUAGGAAACUGGUGCUAAUACUGGAUAUGUGCUCCUGCUGCAUGGUGGGGGUUGGAAAGCUCCGGCGGUUGUGGAUGGACUCGCGGCCUAUCUGCUUGUUGGUGGGGUAGUGGCCUACCAAGGCGGCGACGGGUAGCCGGCCUGAGAGGGUGACCGGCCACAUUGGGACUGAGAUACGGCCCAGACUCCUACGGGAGGCAGCAGGGGGGAAUAUUGCACAAGGGGCGCAAGCCUGAUGCAGCAACGCCGCGUGCGGGAUGACGGCCUUCGGGUUGGAAACCGCUUUCAGCAGGGACGAAGCUUUUUGUGACGGUACCUGCAGAAGAAGCACCGGCUAACUACGUG